CCAAUAGCGUAUAUUAAAGUUGUUGCAGUUAAAAAGCUCGUAGUCGAACUUUGGGUUGGGCAGGCGGGUCCGCUGCUUCGGUGGCGAGUACUCGCUUCUGUCCGACCUUUCCUCCUGGGGAGCCGGUGCGACUUGCCUUCGGGCAGGAUGUGCCGGGGAGCCAGGACGUUUACCUUGAAAAAAUUAGAGUGUUCAAAGCAGGCGCACGCUUGUAUAGAUUAGCAUGGAAUAAUGGAAUAGGGCCUUGGUUCUGUUGUGUUGGUUUUGUGGAACCGCGGUAAUGAUGAAUAGGGACAGUUGGGGGCAUUUGUAUCUCGUAGUUAGAGGUGAAAUUCUUGGAUUUACGAGCGACAAACCUAUGCGAAAGCAUUUGCCAAGGAUGUUUUCAUUGAUCAAGAACGAAAGUUAGGGGAUCGAAGACGAUUAGAUACCGUCGUAGUCUUAACCAUAAACGAUGCCGACUAGGGAUUGGGCGAUGUUAAUCACGACUCGCCCAGCACCUUUAG
rnacentral:rRNA from 1 species